rnacentral:misc_RNA from 1 species
GUUUCGUCCAAAAUGUCCCCACCCCUCGCUGUCGGCGAGCCCUCGCCGCCGAUACCCCCGGUCAGAGAUCCGGCGGCGACGGUGUCGGAGAUGGACGACCGAUGGUCUCGGAUGCUGCCGGAGCUUCUCGGCGAGAUCAUCCGCCGCGUCGAGGCUAGCGAGGAGCAGUGGCCGCUCCGCAAGGACGUUGUCUCCUGCGCCUGCGUCUGCCGCCGGUGGCGCUACGUCACCGCCGGGGUCGUCAGGCCGCCGGUCGAGACUGGCAAGAUCACUUUCCCCUCUUCUCUCAAACAGCCGGGACCGAGGGAGUCGCCGAUCCAGUGCUUCAUUCAGAGGAACAAGAAGAAUUCUACGUUCUACCUCUAUCUUAGCUUGACUGAGACCUUCUUGGAUAAAGGGAAGUUCCUAUUGGCUGCUCGAAGGUUUAGGCAUGGUGCUCACACUCAGUAUAUCCUCUCUCUCGAUGCUGAUGAUCUGUCGCAAGGAAGUAAUGCAUAUGUGGGAAAAUUGAGGUCAGACUUCUUAGGCACAAACUUU